rnacentral:rRNA from 1 species
GACAGAGGGUGCAAACGUUGUUCGGAAUUACUGGGCGUAAAGCGCGUGUAGGCGGCAAGGCAAGUCGGAUGUGAAAGCCCACGGCUCAACCGUGGAAGUGCACCCGAAACUGCCUAGCUAUAGUCUCGGAGAGGAAGGUGGAAUGCUUGGUGUAGAGGUGAAAUUCGUAGAUAUCAAGCGGAACACCGGUGGCGAAGGCGGCCUUCUGGACGAUGACUGACGCUGAGACGCGAAAGCGUGGGGAGCAAACAGG